GAUAGAGGUGCGGUGCUGCGUGUAACAGAAAAGAGGCUGCCAGAGCUUUAGACUUUCUGCGAAUGGCUUUGCCGCCGAAAAGAAGGAUCCGGCACAUCCUUCUUUGGGCAUACAUUGAAACAUUGUAUGACUGUCAUCAUAGAAAUGCUUAUGAUGGGGCGCUAUCG
rnacentral:ncRNA from 1 species